rnacentral:rRNA from 1 species
UACGUAGGGUGCAAGCGUUGUCCGGAAUUAUUGGGCGUAAAGAGCUCGUAGGCGGUCUGUCGCGUCGGAUGUGAAAAUCAGGGCUCAACCCUGGACCUGCAUUCGAUACGGGCAGACUAGAGUUCGGUAGGGGAGACUGGAAUUCCUGGUGUAGCGGUGAAAUGCGCAGAUAUCAGGAGGAACACCGGUGGCGAAGGCGGGUCUCUGGGCCGAAACUGACGCUGAGGAACGAAAGCGUGGGGAGCGAACAGG